rnacentral:rRNA from 1 species
UACGUAGGGCGCAAGCGUUGUCCGGAAUUACUGGGCGUAAAGCGCGCGCAGGCGGUUUUUCAAGUCAGUGGUGAAAGCCCGGAGCUCAACUCCGGAACUGCCAUUGAAACUGUAGAACUUGAGGACGAGAGAGGUGAGUGGAAUUCCCAGUGUAGAGGUGAAAUUCGUAGAUAUUGGGAAGAACACCGGUGGCGAAGGCGGCUCACUGGCUCAUUACUGACGCUCAUGCGCGACAGCGUGGGGAUCAAACAGG